rnacentral:rRNA from 1 species
AACAAACGCUGGCGGCGUGCCUAAUACAUGCAAGUCGAACGGGGAAAGCUUUCGGGUGAGUACUAGUGGCGCACGGGUGAGGAACGCGUGGAUAAUCUGCCUUAGAGUGGGGGAUAACUAGUCGAAAGAUUAGCUAAUACCGCAUAAGACCACAGGAGCUGCGGCUCUAGGGGUCAAAGGUUUUUCGCUCUAAGAUGAGUCCGCGUAAGAUUAGCUAGUAGGUGAGGUAACGGCUCACCAAGGCGACGAUCUUUAACUGGUCUGAGAGGAUGAUCAGUCACACUGGAACUGAGACACGGUCCAGACUCCUACGGGAGGCAGCAGUAGGGAAUAUUGCACUAUGGAGGAAACUCUGAUGCAGCGACGCCGCGUGAGUGAUGAAGGCCUUCGGGUCGUAAAGCUCUGUCGCAGGGGAAUAACACAAUGAAUGUACCCUGUAAGAAAGGAUCGGCUAACUUCGUGCCAGCCGCCGCGGUAAAAC